rnacentral:lncRNA from 1 species
GAACCCGCCUCCGGUUCCAGCCGCGGCUCCGCCACACCGGAGGGGAGGCCGCCCGCCACCCGCCCUCCGGUUCCUGGGCUGCACUCGCCAGAAGGCGGCUGAUUGGCCAAAAAAAAGCAACGAAAUCGUCAACUUCUUUUGAGUUUGAUGGAACCAAGUGGCUCAUUUUGGCUGUUUACCACAGCGUGGAAAGAGCAGGAAGGAAUACUUGAGACCCUUACAUCAGAAAGUGGCUCCUCGUACAUCCACCUGCUUGAUGUAAUAAGGCAUAUUAGAGAGAACCGUCGCAGUGCCCAGGUUUCACCUUAGGGCAUUAGCUGCUGUGAGAACAAUUAGCAGAUGUCCCAAAGCCAGAGUGGACAGCAAAGAACACCCUGCUAAUCACCCUGGGUGAAGGACCACGCUGAAAAGAUGACCCGUGUUCCAGUCCUAGCCCAGGCUAGGAAGUUCUACACCACAAUCCAUGCCCUGGUAAAGCCAAGUGACGAGAAGGCCGCCUUGCUCAUUUACCCUGGAGGUGUUCAAGAGACGGGUUGAUGUGGUGCUGGGAGGUAUGGUUUAGUGAUGGUGAUGCUCCUUGUUUGUUGUGUGGGUGUCUAUUUUUGUCAAAAUUAGGUUGACGGUUGGACAAGAUGAUCUUUAAGGUCCCUUCCACCCUAGAAGAUUCUGUGAUUCUGUGAAAAAAUUCCCCUCCACCGGUACUGCAGGGUGACACAUCCUCUUCCUACAGAGCAGCAUCAGGAAGAGCUCAAGCGUAUUCGCUUCCAUCUGGCUUCCCUCCUGCCCUGCCCCUGCCACAGCUUCAGGCUGAGGAAUCUUUAGAAAGCAAUUUACAUCCAAUGGCUUUAAUAGAUCUUACCUGUCAAGUAGCGGUAGGACUUUUAAAUGUGGAAUUAGUAUUCCUUUAGCCCUCAAAGAAGUACCGAACCCUAAUGGCCUUUCCCCAGAAAGAAAGAAUAUAAAGCUAAGAAUAAGCAUAUUGAGAAUGAUACACAAAUAUUAACCUGUCCUGCUUGCUGGCUACUUAUUCUGCCAAAGAACCUAGUUUUGCCGUACUUUUUACAGCGGGAGCAGACCUAAAGACUGAGAAUAGGAACUUAAAUAGAGGCAGAGGAAAAACCAAAUGAGGAAGGCUUUAGGA